rnacentral:rRNA from 1 species
GACGAACGCUGGCGGCGUGCCUAAUACAUGCAAGUAGAACGCACAGUUUAUACCGUAGCUUGCUCCACCAUAAACUGUGAGUUGCGAACGGGUGAGUAACGCGUAGGUAACCUGCCUGGUAGCGGGGGAUAACUAUUGGAAACGAUAGCUAAUACCGCAUAAUAUUAAUUAUUGCAUGAUAAUUGAUUGAAAGAUGCAAUUGCAUCACUACCAGAUGGACCUGCGUUGUAUUAGCUAGUAGGUGAGGUAACGGCUCACCUAGGCGACGAUACAUAGCCGACCUGAGAGGGUGAUCGGCCACACUGGGACUGAGACACGGCCCAGACUCCUACGGGAGGCAGCAGUAGGGAAUCUUCGGCAAUGGACGAAAGUCUGACCGAGCAACGCCGCGUGAGUGAAGAAGGUUUUCGGAUCGUAAAGCUCUGUUGUAAGAGAAGAACGGGUGUGAGAGUGGAAAGUUCACACUGUGACGGUAUCUGACCAGAAAGGGACGGCUAACUACGUG